CAUUUUUGAGAGGGAACUAGGGGAGACCAAGAACAAGCUGGAAUUCUGAAAUCCCUUGGUUAAAUUGAAGCUAAAUACUUGUAUGUUUGAAGAUUCCUAGUCAUCUAGUGGUAAUAAUCAUAUGGUACGCAGGUAAUCAUACUCAAGUGGAAUGGGAAGAUCAAGUCUUGGCAGGGGAAUGUACGUGUAGAUUCAAAGACUUUUAACUACUUGUGUUAGGAUACGGCAUGGUCGAUAUAUCCUUUAUGUAAGAACAUGCCAUAAGAUUUGGUGACACCCGUUGACUAGAUUGACUAAUUGAUUUACAAAUUUAGCAAGGAC